UACGAAGGUGGCAAGCGUUGUUCGGAUUUACUGGGCGUAAAGCGUGCGCAGGCGGUGAUGUAAGACAGGUGUGAAAUCCCCGGGCUUAACCUGGGAACUGCAUUUGUGACUGCAUCGCUGGAGUGCGGCAGAGGGGGAUGGAAUUCCGCGUGUAGCAGUGAAAUGCGUAGAUAUGCGGAGGAACACCGAUGGCGAAGGCAAUCCCCUGGGCCUGCAC
rnacentral:rRNA from 1 species